AUUGAACGCUGGCGGCAUGCUUUACACAUGCCAGUCGAACGGCAGCGCGGGCUUCGGCCUGGCGGCGAGUGGCGAACGGGUGAGUAAUGCAUCGGAACGUGCCCAGUAGUGGGGGAUAGCCCGGCGAAAGCCGGAUUAAUACCGCAUACGACCUGAGGGUGAAAGCGGGGGACCGAAAGGCCUCGCGCUAUUGGAGCGUCCGAUGUCGGAUUAGCUAGUUGGUGGGGUAAAGGCUUACCAAGGCGACGAUCCGUAGCUGGCCUGAGAGGACGACCAGCCACACUGGGACUGAGACACGGCCCAGACUCCUACGGGAGGCAGCAGUGGGGAAUUUUGGACAAUGGGGGCAAGCCUGAUCCAGCCAUGCCGCGUGCGGGAAGAAGGCCUUCGGGUUGUAAACCGCUUUUGUUCGGGAAGAAAUCCUCUGGGCUAAUACCCCGGGGGGAUGACGGUACCGGAAGAAUAAGCACCGGCUAACUACGUG
rnacentral:rRNA from 1 species